rnacentral:misc_RNA from 1 species
UGCUAGGAUGAGAGAACGCAGUGCCAGUAAUGGUGGCAAGUAUAUUUCUGUACAUCUUCGCUUUGAGGAGGAUAUGGUUGCAUUCUCGUGUUGUAUUUUUGAUGGAGGACAUAAAGAGAUGGAAGACAUGAAAGCAGCCAGAGAAAAAGGAUGGAAAGGAAAGUUCACAAAACCAGGCAGAGUUAUACGUCCUGGUGCCAUCAG